UGCAAAAUCAAGUUUUGCUGUGAGAAAAAAGCUGUGGUUUUGCUCAAAUAAUUCAAAUUUUUUUGUUUGUUUUUCUUCCCGGAAAACUCAAAUAAAAUAUCUUCCUUUGAAUAAGGUUAGUGCCAAACAUUUGCCUUUAACUUUGUGCCAUGAAACACACAGAGCCCCAGAUCCUUAUUUCAGCUGAGCUGUGUUGGUGGUGCCCGUGAACACAGUUUUGCUUUCUCCUUAGACAGAAAAGAAGCAGAUGAAAACACUGAGACUGAGCACUCAUCAAUUUGUUCUUUGAUGCCCCAAAUAUUGCUGAGAGGAGAAUCAGGCUGAAAAUGCUGAGGAUGAAGGUCAUCUCCCCUUGAGCUGCAGCAGUGCUGGUGUGGGACCAGCAUCACCACCCUUGCUCUGCUAUGGAUCCAAGCUACAUAAAUUGGUGACAGAGCUCACUGGGAAUUCAUCCACCUUUCUCUUCUGGAAGUUCUCAAGGAACUCAGCCAUGACCCAGCUGAUCUCUUCAGUCAGGCAGAUGUGUUUGCAGGUGGUGUCAAUCCCCUGCAUGACAGGAUAAGCAACAUCUGAACACAGGAAGAGCUCAGGGAGGAGAGGAAGGGAACAAAGACCAGGAUCAAGGCAGCUGGAAGAAUCCCACAGUCUAGAAGGCUACCAACCUUUCCCAAAGCUGGACUCAGAGUCAAGAUAACAGAGCCCAGUACAUGGUUAAUCAUCACUGCAAAGAAUCUCUGCUGUCAGGUCUGUGUUUCCCCACUUUCUAAAAGCUGAUAUUCACAGCAGCAGGGAUUUCAAUCACUGUGAUCCCUGUGCUGUGGGAUUUCCACAUUCUCCAGGCUCAGAUAAAAUGGCACAAAAAGUCCCUGUCCCUCUGGUUCUGGCCCCAAAUUCAGAUGGGGACCUGAGAUAUUUUUCUCGACUGAGGUUUCAUUGAAAUGAAUAUGUUCCCAUGGAAAGUUUCAGUUUCAAUUAUAUCAGCACUUUUUAUGGGGGAAAAAAAAAUUAAUCAGAAAACAUUCCAGUCAGAUCUAGACAAAUUUGCUAAUAUUUACCCAAAAAAGACACUCAUGGAAGACUUGUGUCUUAUUAUCAAGGUAUUUGGGCUUUCAGGUUAUACCCAGAAAUUUUUCUGAUGUAGAAACAAGGCAGGAAAGGCUUUGGAUUGAUAACUUUAAUAUGUCUGUCUUCCCUUGAUUAGGAGUGUUAGUGUUGGCCUGCCUUUGUUCUGCUCAAAACCCUUUUCUGGAUUCAAAGGGAUAUUUAUUGCAAUCUCCAAAUUCUUCAUCUGAACAGGGAAAGGAGGCUGAAUCCUUAAUAAAGACUUCCUUCCUCCCAGUGUUAUUUAUUCAUUGGAUAAAGAUAGGCUAAAAUAAACACAAAUUACUUGUAGACUUAAAAACUUCAGUGAUUAAAACAUCGUCCUCAUGUGAACACUCCACAUAAAUUUCUUGAUUUCUAGGACACCAUUUCUGUUUCUCCCAUUCAGCCUAAAUUACCUCAGAUGGCAGACAAAGCCAGAUUUUAUCAUGAAUGAAGGUUACAGAUUUUUGGAAAUAAAGCCCUUUGUGCUCUCUGAGGUGGAAUUCCUUAAACGGGGAACCAGUUAGAGCCAAAUAUGGCCAAAAAUAAAGUGUUUUCUGACUGCUCGUUGUGUUAGAACACAACCAGCAUCCAGAGUCAGACAGGCAAAGGGUUUGAUACCAGCAGAUGGAAAGGGUUUUCCUUCUACACAAUGCAUGUAAUUAAUUUGUGGGACUCAUUACCAAAAGAGAUCAUGAAGGUCAACAUUAUGCAUGAAAUUACAAAGUAUUUAUUAAAAAUUGUGGAGGAUUUCAUUGGGAUAAAUUAGCACAGUGGUCUGGCUGUGGCUUCUACAUCAAGAAAUCCCUAAAAUACUGAAAAACAGAGGCAGGAUCUGCCUUGCUCUGGGCAUCUGUAUUUCAGAUCCACUGAAGGGGCAGCA